rnacentral:rRNA from 1 species
AUUGAACGCUGGCGGCAGGCCUAACACAUGCAAGUCGAACGAGUGGCGGACGGGUGAGUAAUGUCUGGGAAACUGCCUGAUGGAGGGGGAUAACUACUGGAAACGGUAGCUAAUACCGCAUACCAUCAGAUGUGCCGAGUUGGGAUUAGCUAGUUGGUGGGGUAACGGCUCACAAAGGCGACGAUCGCUAGCGGGUCUGAGAGGAUGACCGGCCACACUGGGACGGAGACACGGUCCAGACUCCUACGGGAGGCAGCAGUGGGGAAUAUUGGGCAAUGGACGAAAGCCUGAUGCAGCCAUGCCGCGUGUAUGAAGAAGGCCUUCGGGUUGUAAAGUACUUUCAUCGGGGAGGCGUUACCCGCAGAAGAAGCACCGGCUAACUCCGUGCCAGCAGCCGCGGUAAUAC